GACGAACGCUGGCGGCGUGCUUAACGCAUGCAAGUCGAACGGAAAGGCCCUGCUUUUGUGGGGUGCUCGAGUGGCGAACGGGUGAGUAACACGUGAGUAACCUGCCCUUGACUUUGGGAUAACUUCAGGAAACUGGGGCUAAUACCGGAUAGGAGCUCCUGCUGCAUGGUGGGGGUUGGAAAGUUUCGGCGGUUGGGGAUGGACUCGCGGCUUAUCAGCUUGUUGGUGGGGUAGUGGCUUACCAAGGCUUUGACGGGUAGCCGGCCUGAGAGGGUGACCGGCCACAUUGGGACUGAGAUACGGCCCAGACUCCGACGGGAGGCAGCAGUGGGGAAUAUUGCACAAUGGGCGGAAGCCUGAUGCAGCAACGCCGCGUGCGGGAUGACGGCCUUCGGGUUGUAAACCGCUUUCGCCUGUGACGAAGCGUGAGUGACGGUAAUGGGUAAAGAAGCACCGGCUAACUACGUG
rnacentral:rRNA from 1 species